CAAUAAGCGGAGGAAAAGAAACCAACAGGGAUUGCCCCAGUAACGGCGAGUGAAGCGGCAACAGCUCAGAUUUGGAAUCUGGCCCCCCCCGGGGGGUCCGAGUUGUAAUCUGGAGAGGAUGCUUCUGGCGCGGCGCCCGGCGAGUUCCCUGGAACGGGACGCCAGAGAGGGUGAGAGCCCCGUACGGCGGGACGCCGCGCCUCUGCGAAGCUCCUUCGAACGAGUCGAGUAGUUUGGGAAUGCUGCUCCAAACGGGAGGUAAAUUUCUCCUAAAGCUAAAUACCGGCCGGAGACCGAUAGCGCACAAGUAGAGUGAUCGAAAGAUGAAAAGCACUUUGAAAAGAGGGUCAAACAGUACGUGAAAUUGUUGAAAGGGAAGCGCCCGUGGCCAGACUCGCGCCCCGCGGACCACCCGGCGGACUUCCGCCGGGGCACGCCGCGGGGCGCGGGCCAGCAUCGGCCCCCGCAGGGGGACAAGGGCGGCGGGAACGUGGCUCCUCUGGGAGUGUUACAGCCCGCCGCGCCAUGCCCCUGGGGGGGCCGAGG
rnacentral:rRNA from 1 species